rnacentral:rRNA from 1 species
CGAACGCUGGCGGCGUGCCUAACACAUGCAAGUCGAACGGAGAUUCAGAAGAAGCCUAGCGAUUCUGAGUCUUAGUGGCGGACGGGUGAGUAACGCGUGGGUAAUCUGCCCUUGAGCGGGGGAUAACAGUCGGAAACGACUGCUAAUACCGCAUACACUACCGGAGACACAUGUACUCGGUAGCAAAGGUGGCCUCUUAACAAUGCUACCGCUUAAGGAUGAGCCCGCGUCUGAUUAGCUAGUAGGUGGGGUAAAGGCCUACCUAGGCGACGAUCAGUAGCCGGCCUGAGAGGGUGUACGGCCACACUGGAACUGAGACACGGUCCAGACUCCUACGGGAGGCAGCAGUGGGGAAUAUUGCGCAAUGGGGGAAACCCUGACGCAGCGACGCCGCGUGAGCGAAGAAGGCCUUCGGGUUGUAAAGCUCUGUUCUAAGGGACGAAGGACUUGGCUGUGAAUAAUGGUCAAGGGUGACGGUACCUUAGGAGAAAGCCCCGGCUAACUACGUGCCAGCAGCCGCGGUAAUACGUAGGGGGCGAGCGUUGUCCGGAAUUACUGGGCGUAAAGAGCGUGU